rnacentral:rRNA from 1 species
CGCUUCCAGGAAAAGUCUCUAAGCUUCAGUUACACAGGAAUCGUACCCGAAACCGACACAGGUGGUCAGGUCGAGUAGACCAAGGCGCUUGAGAGAACUCUGCUGAAGGAACUAGGCAAAAUGGUACCGUAACUUCGGGAGAAGGUACGCUGUUGUUGGUGAUGGAACUCGCUUCCUGAGCUGACGACAGCCGCAGAAACCAGGCCGCUGCAACUGUUUAUUAAAAACAUAGCACUCUGCAAACACGAAAGUGGACGUAUAGGGUGUGAUGCCUGCCCGGUGCUGGAAGGUUAAUUGAUGGGGUUAGCGUAAGCGAAGCUCUUGAUCGAAGCCCCAGUAAACGGCGGCCGUAACAAUAACGGUCCUAAGGUAGCGAAAUUCCUUGUCGGGUAAGUUCCGACCUGCACGAAUGGCAUAAUGAUGGCGGCGCUGUCUCCAGCAGAGGCUCAGUGAAAUCGAAAUCGCUGUGAAGAUGCAGUGUACCCGCGGCUAGACGGAAGGACCCCGUGAACCUUUACUGCAGCUUGACACUGAACUUUGACCUUACUUGUGUAGGAUAGGUGGGAGGCUUUGAAGCUGGAACGCUAGUUCCAGUGGAGCCGUCCUUGAAAUACCACCCUGGUAAUGUUGAGGUUCUAACUCUGUCCCGUGAUCCGGGACGAGGACCGUGUCUGGUGGGUAGUUUGACUGGGGCGGUCUCCUCCUAAAGAGUAACGGAGGAGUACGAAGGUGCGCUCAGCGUGGUCGGAAAUCACGCGUAGAGUAUAAAGGCAAAAGCGCGCUUAACUGCGAGACCCACAAGUCGAGCAGGUACGAAAGUAGGUCUUAGUGAUCCGGUGGUUCUGUAUGGAAGGGCCAUCGCUCAACGGAUAAAAGGUACUCUGGGGAUAACAGGCUGAUACCGCCCAAGAGUUCAUAUCGACGGCGGUGUUUGGCACCUCGAUGUCGGCUCAUCCCAUCCUGGGGCUGAAGCAGGUCCCAAGGGUAUGGCUGUUCGCCAUUUAAAGAGGUACGCGAGCUGGGUUUAGAACGUCGUGAGACAGUUCGGUCCCUAUCUACCGUGGGCGCUGGAAAUUUGAGAGGAUCUGCUCCUAGUACGAGAGGACCAGAGUGGACGAACCUCUGGUGUACCGGCUGUGACGCCAGUCGCAUCGCCGGGUAGCUAUGUUCGGAAGGGAUAACCGCUGAAAGCAUCUAAGCGGGAAGCCUACCUCAAGAUAAGAUUUCCCUAGGACUUUAUGUCCUCUAAAGAGCCGUUCGAGACUAGGACGUUGAUAGGUUGGAUGUGGAAGCAUAGUGAUAUGUGAAGCUGACCAAUACUAAUUGCUCGUGAGGCUUGACU